AACGAACGCUGGCGGCAGGCUUAACACAUGCAAGUCGAGCGCCCCGCAAGGGGAGCGGCAGACGGGUGAGUAACGCGUGGGAAUCUACCCAUCUCUACGGAAUAACGCAUGGAAACGUGUGCUAAUACCGUAUACGUCCUUCGGGAGAAAGAUUUAUCGGAGAUGGAUGAGCCCGCGUUGGAUUAGCUAGUUGGUGGGGUAAAGGCCUACCAAGGCGACGAUCCAUAGCUGGUCUGAGAGGAUGAUCAGCCACACUGGGACUGAGACACGGCCCAGACUCCUACGGGAGGAAGCAGUGGGGAAUAUUGGACAAUGGGCGCAAGCCUGAUCUAGCCAUGCCGCGUGAGUGAUGAAGGCCCUAGGGUUGUAAAGCUCUUUCACCGGUGAAGAUAAUGACGGUAACCGGAGAAGAAGCCCCGGCUAACUUCGUGCCAGCCGCCGCGGUAAAAC
rnacentral:rRNA from 1 species